rnacentral:ncRNA from 1 species
GUCGUCACGCUCACCACCAAGCCGGUUUCCCUGACCACUGAAUUGCCGGGCCGCACCUCGCCGUUCCGCGUCGCCGAAGUGCGGCCGCAGGUCAACGGCAUCGUGCAGAAGCGCCUGUUCACCGAGGGCGGCGAGGUCAAGGCGGGCGAGCAGCUCUACCAGAUCGA